GUUCAGACCAUAUCCUCUCGCCACCGCCCCUCUCGACUGCUCCGACGGCCUGAGCGCAGCUCUCUGGUGUGACGCGUUCCCCAUCUCCUCUGCUUUCCCCCAGGCGCAGAGACGCCCCCUCGUCUCCUCCUCUUCAUUGCCGCUCGAAGUUAGUUGCGAAGCCGCUGCAGGCCGGAAGCACGUAGCUACCCCUCCAACGAUUCUGCGGCCGUCAGCUCUCCCCGCCAAUGUGGCGCCGCCGUCCCCAUUCGCUGUCGCGGCUUCUCCUUCCCGCUUCCCCUCCACACGAAGGCGUCGUACGAUACCUACCCUUCCCGCCGCGGGGUCGAGGGCUUCUUCCCCCCGAGGAGGUGUCGUCACCCUGAAGUGGUACAUCCGGCUCGGUAUGAUUCCGCUCUCCCAACCCGAUUGUCCCUUAUCAGAAGCUAAUUAGAUGGUAAACAUGAAUUAUUCAUCAAAAUUUCCCGAGACCAAAUCGAUAUGUCGACGGGCUCCACCAAUUUACGCCGAUGUAGUUGUUUGCAUAGGUCAAUUUGUUAUGGCGGAAAUUCUAUUUUUAAGGCAACCUGGGAAAGGAGUAUGUCAUUUUUAGGGAAGAUGAUCUCUCAUCUUAAUUAACCAGGCAGUAACUUACUGAGUGUUGUCCUUUGGUUAAGUAGAAUUCAGUGGCCGAGAAAACCAACAUGUGUGCGUACCUUUUCAAAAUUUGCAAAGCAACUACCAUCGAUCACAAUUAGGAAUCAGCAAGAUGUUUUUGCAUCUACUAGGACUGUUGAUAGAUUGAUUGCCACCACAGGUUCAUGUAUUGAAUUUAAUUGUCAGCAGCUCACAGGUUAUUUUGCUACAGAUUCAUAUCAACAUGAUAAAAGUACAAACCCCUUUUCUUGGUUGUGUAGCAAAAAGGCAAAAAUGUAUGACAUAUUUUCUACGGAACAGUAGGAUUACUUUUGAUAAACAUAUUUUACCAAUUUAUUUGGCUUGCGAUCUCCAACUGAACCAACUUGACCAUGUAGUUAUAAGAGAGGGCUUGUACCUGAGCACAUAUAAUCCAGGUUAAACAUAAGGCAGGAAAGUAAUAGCAGUACUUUUAGUAAGUAUGUGCAAAUUACAGCGAAGCCUAUUGUUCGUUCAUGGCUGCACAAUGUUACUAUGCACACAGAGUUCACGAAAACAAAUGUCGACCAUAAUAUAUCUCAGACUACAUCCUGAAAACAAACACAAUGUACUUGGAUACAAAUGAAAUUGUUAGAAAGAGGUGACAUGUCACACCAUGAGUUUGUAUAUAUUUUACCGAUCAACUCGCUUCACAUUUCCCUGCAAAAAAAGAGCUCACUCCACAUGAGCUUGGAUACACUGGCUUACGCUGGUCCACUGCAGCCACCUUUUUUUUAUGAGAAAAAAAUUAGAGACAGCUUCAGAUAGAUUUUCCCUGCUAAUUAUCAUAUGCAUUUUUCUCAAGUUCAUUUAGGAUCCGGCUAACAUUCUGUACCCAGGACUAUCAGCAACCAACCUUUUGUGCCCUUGUUCACAACGUGCUAGCCAUAAGGAUGACAAAGUCCUUGUUCUUGCUGAUGCAAACACUCCGUUGCUAUUGGAUUGGGUAGAGAACAUCUGGCAAUUAUUCAUGUGCGCGAUCUUAAAUCCACGCAAUGCAUGUUCAAGGUCAAUGUCGGCGGCACCCCUCAAAGCCUUAGGGAAACCAGUUUAGAGAGCUUGGCUGCAAAGGAACUGAGAGUUAGGUCCUCACAUCGACCUGAUCCUUUCGGGCAUCAAUUCUUUUUGAUGCAGGAGCGUGGUUACCUGGUGAUUGUAGGAGGCAAGGUGGCGGGAGCCGGGACAAGUGACAGUGCCAUCACCCUCUUGAGUCGGGGUGACGGAGAAUGCAUCAAGUCGCCAUGGAGGAAGCUUCAGGACAGGUCACGUGGAAGGAUCGAGCAGGGGUCUAAGGCGACAUAUGCUGUUAGGACGGUAAUGCUGGAAGUAAUUUUCGGUGGAAGUAACGGUGGUUGAUGAUGGCAAUAAGGGUAGGGGUUGGCCGUGAUUUUGGAACCAGGUAACCACGAGCGUUAACUGAGAAUGGUUGAAACUGAGCUAUGUUUAUGGAAUUGAUGUUGGCUGACGAGCAGAGAGGGUGCCAUGGAUUAAUUGGGCUUGUUGGGUUUGGCCCACUUAGGCUGGUGAGGGGCGAUCCUAGAUCAGCUGACGAAGGUUUGACGAAGGAACGACGGACCGCCUGAUGACGGAACUCGUUCCCCCUUUUUAAGUAGUAGAGAAUAGGAUUCAACAAUUCCGGGAUGCCAACCGAGCUGGACAAU